rfam:Sphaerobolus stellatus SS14 unplaced genomic scaffold SPHSTscaffold_535, whole genome shotgun sequence.
GCUCCUGUGGCGCAAUGGUAGCGCGUCAGACUUCUAACGCUUAAAUUGCGUAUGUAAUUGAGAUUAGGUUAUCUGAAGGUUCCGGGUUCGAGUCCCCGCAGGUGCA